rnacentral:lncRNA from 1 species
CUAGUUUGAAUUUGUGAUUUUAAGCUUUUGAAUUUUAAAUUUAGGACUAGUUUGAAUUAUUAUUGAGAUUUUAGGAUUACUAAUAGUUUGAAUUUGGGAUUUUAGCACUAUAGUUUGAUUUUUGAAUUCUAGGAGUACUUUCAAUUUGUGAUUUUAAGACUAGUUUGAAUUUGGAAUUUAGCACUAAUAGUUUGAAUUAU